GCGUGCCUAAUACAUGCAAGUCGAGCGAACAGAUGAGAAGCUUGCUUCUCUGAUGUUAGCGGCGGACGGGUGAGUAACACGUGGGUAACCUACCUAUAAGACUGGGAUAACUCCGGGAAACCGGGGCUAAUACCGGAUAAUAUAUUGAACCGCAUGGUUCAAUAUUGAAAGACGGUUUCGGCUGUCACUUAUAGAUGGACCCGCGCCGUAUUAGCUAGUUGGUAAGGUAACGGCCUACCAAGGUGAUGAUACGUAGCCGAGUUGAGAGACUGAUCGGCCACAAUGGGACUGAGACACGGCCCAUACUCCUACGGGAGGCAGCAGUAGGGAAUCUUCCACAAUGGGCGCAAGCCUGAUGGAGCAACGCCGCGUGAAUGAAGAAGGUCUUCGGAUCGUAAAAUUCUGUUGUUAGAGAAGAAUAUGAGUAAUAGUAACUGAUUAUUCACUGACGGUAUCUAACCAGCAAGUCACGGCUAACUACGUGCCAGCAGCCGCGGUAAUACGUAGGUGGCAAGCGUUGUCCGGAUUUAUUGGGCGUAAAGGGAACGCAGGCGGUUUUUUAAGUCUGAUGUGAAAUCUUGUGGCUUAACCACAAGCGGUCAUUGGAAACUGAGAAGCUUGAGUGCAGAAGAGGAGAGUGGAAUUCCACGUGUAGCGGUGAAAUGCGUAGAGAUGUGGAGGAACACCAGUGGCGAAGGCGACUCUCUGGUCUGUAACUGACGCUGAGGCGCGAAAGCGUGGGGAGCGAACAGGA
rnacentral:rRNA from 1 species